UUAUUAUCGCGACUGGACGGUUUGGAUGGAACUCGAGCGAGCCACGUGUUCGAAGCGUCGAUCGAAAGAAAGGAAAACAAAACGGUUGCGGUCAUAUCGUCGGGGAUAGUUUUAAAAAAGGAACGAGAGAUCCAACACCGACGCGGUCGAUUUAAGGACAGGGAAUACCGUAACCGGACACCGUUCAAAUAUUAUCGAAAACACGGGAUCUCGGUUGGAACGUUGUUUAUCGAAUCGUGGUAUACGUAUACGUGAGUCACGUAUCUAUGCGACGGGUACGAAUAGAGUGGCAUACCAACAGGUACGAAUCACUUUACGUGAUCGUUAAUGAAGCGGCCAGCUGUCUGGAAUCGGUUUCUCCGUUCCAAGCAAAAAUUCCUCCGCGAAAUUACAACUCCCCCUUCCCUCGAACACUCGUCUGAAAUAGAUCUUGGAUCUGGAUCUCGAUUUGAAAGAGAAAUGACGAAAGUGUGUUGAAUUGACAUCCCAUACCUCGUCUGUAGUCACGCGCUAAUAACGAGUGUGGACAAGAACAAAUGGGAGGAGGAGGACGGAGAUAGCUUAAAAAUUGUGAAAUUAACGCCAUCUCUCAGAGUGUCGCAAAUGAAACGCAAUUGAAUUGUACAAAAAAAGGAGAAGAAAUAAUGGGAGAAGAAUAGAGAUAAGGAUAAGAAUAGACUAUCAGCGCCAUCUCGCGAGUGUCAAGAUUAUUUGCUUUUCCCCUUUAUAUUUACAAAUUAUAAUAAAAAUGUAAACGUAUGCGAUAGUCUACGAAUCAAAAAGAUUUAAAGUAUUUUGUUACAAAAAUAUAUACGGUUCAUACCUUUUUUAUACAUCCUAUAUGUCUCUGUAUUUAUAUCACACGCUCGACUUUAGAUAACUCGAUAUCGCGCGAAUGCGUCCAUACUUAUUCCAUAUCGUAUAAUUAAAUAAAUAAAAUUGUACAAUUUCGCAACUUUAAUAGUACGUACACUUUUUUAAGAAUAUUGUUCUUUUUUUAUUCGCGAAUGUUGGUACGUUUUAUUCUUCCUAUAAACGAGAAACAGAACAGACGUGACAUCUUAUGGGAUUUUGUGUCAUGUCCUGAAAUAUCGACGUUAAUCGAGAUAAGAGUGUUUUUUACGCCAUCUAGUACGUUAUACUCUAAGUACAUACACAAAAUUGAAUAAUUCAAAAAAUACAAAAUAAAAAUUUGUGUUUGUAUUUCAUAAUUUUUAAAAACUGAAAAUCUAUAUAUCUAUCAAUUUAAUAAAUUUAACUAUGCGCUCGCAA